ACCGGGCUUCCGUAUAAACUGAAUGUGCUUAUUAUACAUACAUAGUAGUAUAGUACGUACGUAUGUACGUACGUACGUACAAUGAGACAAUUAUUGUACAAACAAAAUUAUGUAACACCAUCAAUGAAAUAAUUUAAUUCUAAUAACAGAUUGAAGUAUUUUUCAAAAGGCUGGAAAUCGAUUCAUGAAUAACCACAAAAGUAUGUUACAGUUGUUCCGCAGUUGUAAGUGGAAUUGGUAAAUUGUAAAGUUCAAGCGUAAUUCAUCAAGAGACUCGUCAGAAUCUCGCAUCAAGUGAUUGCGCCAAGUACAUUCCAAAAAAACGGGCGCACUACCGACAACGAAUUCAGCUCUGAAUUCGUUGCUACCGAGUAUCUUUACUGCAACGGGAGUUCACGAGUUUCAUCACAUGUGAUAAUUUGGAUCAGAGAUAUCUUCCUCACCGCCAGACACCUUUUUGUGAAGGACCUUCAGGAGAUCUUCUACAGGAACGACGAAACCCAAUAUUUUUAUUAAUAAAAUAUGAAUUCUGAGAAUACGUUAAAUUCGCUAAAUGUUCAUAUAUUUUAUGUAAUUUUUAAUUAUUUUCGGAUUAAAUUUAAAUAAAAAUGGUAAAGUGUUGUGCUGUUCUAGAUUGUUUAAUUUGGUAAAAAAAGUGCGUAAGAAAAAUAAGGACUCCAAUCUUC